GACGAACGCUGGCGGCGUGCUUAUCACAUGCAAGUCGAACGGAAAGGCCCUGCUUUUGUGGGGUGCUCGAGUGGCGAACGGGUGAGUAACACGUGAGUAACCUGCCCUUGACUUUGGGAUAACUUCAGGAAACUGGGGCUAAUACCGGAUAGGAGCUCCUGCUGCAUGGUGGGGGUUGGAAAGUUUCGGCGGUUGGGGAUGGACUCGCGGCUUAUCAGCUUGUUGGUGGGGUAGUGGCUUACCAAGGCUUUGACGGGUAGCCGGCCUGAGAGGGUGACCGGCCACAUUGGGACUGAGAUACGGCCCAGACUCCUACGGGAGGCAGAAGUGGGGAAUAUUGCACAAUGGGCGGAAGCCUGAUGCAGCAACGCCGCGUGCGGGAUGACGGCCUUCGGGUUGUAAACCGCUUUCGCCUGUGACGAAGCGUGAGUGACGGUAAUGGGUAAAGAAGCACCGGCUAACUACGUG
rnacentral:rRNA from 1 species